rnacentral:rRNA from 1 species
GGGAAUUUCAAAAUGACGCGGGCUGGACCUCUCGGGGUUACAGCCUUGCUGAAUUAUUCACCCUUGUCUUUUGCGUACUUCUUGUUUCCUUGGUGGGUUCGCCCACCACUAGGACAAACAUAAACCUUUUGUAAUUGCAAUCAGCGUCAGUAACAAAUUAAUAAUUACAACUUUCAACAACGGAUCUCUUGGUUCUGGCAUCGAUGAAGAACGCAGCGAAAUGCGAUAAGUAGUGUGAAUUGCAGAAUUCAGUGAAUCAUCGAAUCUUUGAACGCACAUUGCGCCCUUUGGUAUUCCAAAGGGCAUGCCUGUUCGAGCGUCAUUUGUACCCUCAAGCUUUGCUUGGUGUUGGGCGUCUUGUCUCUAGCUUUGCUGGAGACUCGCCUUAAAGUAAUUGGCAGCCGGCCUACUGGUUUCGGAGCGCAGCACAAGUCGCACUCUCUAUCAGCAAAGGUCUAGCAUCCAUUAAGCCUUUUUUUCAACUUUUGACCUCGGAUCAGGUAGGGAUACCCGCUGAACUUAAGCAUAUCAAUAAGGCGGAGGAA